GCGCGGUGAAUUCAUUACCAUCUUUCGGGGCAUAUCAAUCCUGAUGAUAACAUAACCAUAUGCUGAGCGC
rnacentral:snoRNA from 14 species